UACGGAGGGUGCAAGCGUUAUCCGGAUUCACUGGGUUUAAAGGGUGCGUAGGUGGGUAGGUAAGUCAGCGGUGAAAUCCCCGAGCUUAACUUGGGAACUGCCAUUGAUACUAUCUGUCUUGAAUACCUUGGAGGUGAGCGGAAUAUGUCAUGUAGCGGUGAAAUGCUUAGAUAUGACAUAGAACACCAAUUGCGAAGGCAGCUCACUACACGGUCAUUGACACUGAGGCACGAAAGCGUGGGGAUCAAACAGG
rnacentral:rRNA from 1 species